rnacentral:rRNA from 1 species
GCAAAGUAUGUGCCGGCGGGUAGGGUAAUACGGGGGAUGCGGAGGUUGUCUGGAAUUAGUGGGCGUAAAGGGGUCGUAGGGUGUUGGUGGCGUCGGGAGUGAAAUCCACUGGCUUAACUGGUGGCGUGCUUUCGAUACGGGCAGACUGGAGGUAUGCAGGGGAGAACGGAAUUCCUGGUGUAGCGGUGAAAUGCGCAGAUAUCAGGAGGAACACCGGUGGCGAAGGCGGUUCUCUGGGCAUGUCCUGACGCUGAGGAGCGAAAGUGUGGGGAGCGAACAGGAUUAGAUACCCCAGUAGUC